rnacentral:rRNA from 1 species
AACGAACGCUGGCGGCAUGCCUAACACAUGCAAGUCGAACGAGACCUUCGGGUCUAGUGUCGCACGGGUUCGUAACGCGUGGGAACCUGCCCUUAGGUUCGGAAUAACUCCCCGAAAGGGGUGCUAAUACCGGAUAAUGUCUUCGGACCAAAGAUUUAUCGCCUUUGGAUGGGCCCUCGUUGGAUUAGCUAGUUGGUAGGGUAAAAGCCUACCAAGGCGACGAUCCAUAGCUUGUCUGAGAGGAUGAUCAGCCACACUGGGACUGAGACACGGCCCAGACUCCUACGGGAGGCAGCAGUGGGGAAUAUUGGACAAUGGGCGAAAGCCUGAUCCAGCAAUGCCGCGUGAGUGAUGAAGGCAUUAGGGUUGUAAAGUUCUUUUACCCGGGAUGAUAAUGACAGUACCGGGAGAAUAAGCUCCGGCUAACUCCGUG